AUAUGCCUACAAUAUAGAAUUAAUGCAUCGGAUCCCAUUAUAACUCUGCAGUUAAGGAUGCAUGGGCUAUAUUAGUACUAGGAUGGGUUACCACCCGGUAAGUCCUAGUGUUUUACAUGCC
rfam:Picea glauca, whole genome shotgun sequence.